CCAGAGUGAAAUUUUAAAUGUGUUUUCAAAGAACCUGCUUGACUAAAUUGCUUAAAACAAAUCUCGCACUUGUAAGGUUUUUCUCCCGAGUGAAAUUUCAAAUGUGUUUUCAAAGAACCUGCUUGACUAAAUUGCUUAAAACAAAUCUCGCACUUGUAAGGUUUUUCUCCAGAGUGAAAUUUCAAAUGUCUUUUCAAAGAACCUGCUUGACUAAAUUGCUUAAAACAAAUCUCGCACUUGUAAGGUUUUUCACCAGUGUGCAAUUUCAAAUGUUUGUUCAAAUAACG